ACUCCUACGGGAGGCAGCAGUAGGGAAUCUUCCACAAUGGGCGCAAGCCUGAUGGAGCAACACCGCGUGAGUGAAGAAGGGUUUCGGCUACGUAAAGCUCUGUUGUUAAAGAAGAACACGUAUGAGAGUAACUGUUCAUACGUUGACGGUUAUUUAACCAGAAAGUCACGGCUAACUACGUGCCAGCAGCCGCGGUAAUACGUAGGUGGCAAGCGUUAUCCGGUAUUUAGUUGGGACGUAAAGAGAGUGCAGGUCGGUUUUACUAAGUCUGAUGUGAAACGUCCUUCGGUCUUAAACCGGAGAAGUGCAUCGGAAACUGGUAUAACUUGAGUGCAGAAGAGGUAGUGGAACUCAUGUGUAGCGGUGG
rnacentral:rRNA from 1 species